rnacentral:rRNA from 1 species
UACGUAGGGGGCAAGCGUUGUCCGGAUUUAUUGGGCGUAAAGAGCGUGUAGGCGGCUUUGCAAGUCCGUUGUGAAAACUCGAGGCUCAACCUCGAGACGCCGGUGGAAACUGCAAAGCUAGAGUCCGGAAGAGGAGAGUGGAAUUCCUGGUGUAGCGGUGAAAUGCGCAGAUAUCAGGAAGGACACCCGUGGCGAAGGCGGCUCUCUGGGACGGUACUGACGCUGAGACGCGAAAGCGUGGGGAGCGAACAGG